rnacentral:rRNA from 1 species
AGUUUGAUCCUGGCUCAGGAUGAACGCUAGCGGCAGGCUUAAUACAUGCAAGUCGAGGGGCAGCAUGAACUGGCAAUAGUUUGAUGGCGACCGGCAAACGGGUGCGGAACACGUACACAACCUUCCUUUAAGUGGGGAAUAGCCCAGAGAAAUUUGGAUUAAUACCCCGUAACAUUGCGAUGUGGCAUCACAAUGCAAUUAUAGUUUCGGCGCUUAAAGAUGGGUGUGCGUAUGAUUAGAUAGUUGGCGAGGUAACGGCUCACCAAGUCUACGAUCAUUAGCUGAUGUGAGAGCAUGAUCAGCCACACGGGCACUGAGACACGGGCCCGACUCCUACGGGAGGCAGCAGUAAGGAAUAUUGGUCAAUGGACGCAAGUCUGAACCAGCCAUGCCGCGUGAAGGAUUAAGGUCCUCUGGAUUGUAAACUUCUUUUAUAUGGGACGAAAAAAGGUCUUUCUAGACCCCUUGACGGUACCAUAUGAAUAAGCACCGGCUAACUCCGUGCCAGCAGCCGCGGUAAUACGGAGGGUGCAAGCGUUAUCCGGAUCACUGGGUUUUAAAGGGUGCGUAGGCGGGUAGUAAGUCCAGUGGUGAAAUCCUGGGAGCUCCACUCCAGAACUGCCAUUGAUACUAUUUUAUCUGGAUAAUGGUGGGAGGUAAGCGGAAUAUGUCAUGUACAGGUGAAAUGCCUAAAUAUGACAUACAACACCCCAUUGCGAAGGCCGCUUCUACCCAUAUAUUGGCCCUGAGGCCCGAAAGCGUGGGGAUCCAAACAGGAUUAGAUACCCUUGGUAGUCCCCCCCCUAAACGAUGGAUCUCGACAUACGCGAUACGCUGUGUGUGCCUGAGCGAAAGCAUUAAGUAUCCCCACCUGGGAAGUACCGUUNGCAAGAAUGAAACUUCAAAGGAAUUGGCGGGGGUNCCGCACAAGCGGUGGAGUAUGUGGUUUAAUUCGAUGAUACGCGAGGAACCUUACCUGGGCUAGAAUGCUGGGAGACCGCUAGUGAAAGCUAGUUUUGUAGCAAUACACUGCCAGUAAGGUGCUGCAUGGCCGUCGUCAGCUCGUGCCGUGAGGUGUUGGGUUAAGUCCCGCAACGAGCGCAACCCCUAUCUUUAGUUGCCAACAGGUAAUGCUGGGAACUCUAAAGAAACUGCCGCCGUAAGGUGUGAGGAAGGAGGGGAUGAUGUCAGGUCAUCAUGGCCUUUAUGCCCAGGGCUACACACGUACUACAAUGGGGAAGACAAAGGGCUGCAACAUAGCGAUAUGAAGCCAAUCCCAAAAACUUCCCCUCAGUUCAGAUUGCAGGCUGCAACUCGCCUGCAUGAAGCUGGAAUCGCUAGUAAUCGUAUAUCAGCAAUGAUACGGUGAAUACGUUCCCGGACCUUGCACACACCGCCCGUCAAGCCAUGGGAGUCGGGUGUACCUAAAGUCGGUAACCGUAAGGAGCUGCCUAGGGUAAAAUCGAUGACUGGGGCUAAGUCGUAACAAG